rnacentral:rRNA from 1 species
GCCUGGCCCUAAACAUAGACAAUGUAAACACAACACUGUCCGCCAGAGAACUACAAGUGAAAAACUCGAAACUCCAAGGACUUGGCGGUGCUCCAUAUCAACCUAGAGGAGCCUGUCCUAUAAUCGAUACCCCACGUUAAACCCCACCACCCUUUGCCAAUCAGCCUAUAUACCGCCGUCGUCAGCCUACCCUAUGAAAGGAGAACAGUAGGCAAAAUAGUUAAUAACAAACACGUCAGGUCAAGGUGUAGCAUAUGGGGUGGAAGAGAUGGGCUACAUUUUCUGCUACAGAAUACACGAACGACCCAGUGAAACACGAAUCUGAAGGCGGAUUUAGCAGUAAGAUGAACAAGCAACACCAUCUUAAGCCCGCUCUGGAGCGCGC